rnacentral:rRNA from 1 species
CCUACGGGAGGCAGCAGUGAGGAAUAUUGGUCAAUGGGCGCGAGCCUGAACCAGCCAAGUAGCGUGAAGGAUGAAUGCCCUACGGGUUGUAAACUUCUUUUAUAAAGGAAUAAAGUGAGUCACGUGUGCCUUUUUGUAUGUACUUUAUGAAUAAGGAUCGGCUAACCCCGUGCCAGCAGCCGCGGUAAUACGGAGGAUCCGAGCGUUAUCCGGAUUUAUUGGGUUUAAAGGGAGCGUAGAGGGGUUGUUAAGUCAGUUGUGAAAGUUUGGGGCUCAACCGUAGAAUUGCAAUGGAUACUGGCAGACUUGAGUACAGGUGAGGUAGGCGGAAUUCGUGGUGUAGCGGUGAAAUGCUUAGAUAUCACGAAGAACUCCGAUUGCGAAGGCAGCUUACUAAACCGACACUGACGCUGAGGCUCGAAAGUGUGGGUAUCAAACAGGAUUAGAUACCCUUGUAGUC